rnacentral:rRNA from 1 species
UACGUAGGGGUCGAGCGUUGUCCGGAGUUACUGGGCGUAAAGCGUGCGCAGGCGGCUCAUUGCGCCCGGCGUGAAAGCCCCCGGCUCAACCGGGGAGGGUCGUCGGGGACGGGUGAGCUUGAGGGUAUCAGGGGUUGGUGGAAUUCCCGGUGUAGUGGUGAAAUGCGUAGAGAUCGGCAGGAACACCCAGGGGGAAACCAGCCGACUGGGCAUCUACUGACGCUGAGGUGCGAGAGCGUGGGGAGCGAACCGG